rnacentral:rRNA from 1 species
UACGUAGGGUGCAAGCGUUGUCCGGAAUUAUUGGGCGUAAAGAGCUCGUAGGUGGCCUGUCGCGUCGGCUGUGAAAAACUCGGGGCUCAACUCCCGAGCUUGCAGUCGAUACGGGCAGGCUAGAGUUCGGCAGGGGAGACUGGAAUCCUGGUGUAGCGGUGAAAUGCGCAGAUAUCAGGAGGAACACCGGUGGCGAAGGCGGCUCUCUGGACCGACACUGACGCUGAGGCGCGAAAGCGUGGGGAGCAAACAGG